GUCGGGGUAGCAAAGUCUGGUCAAAUGCGCAGGACUUAAGAUCCUGUCUCUUAGUGAGUUCGAGGGUUCAAAUCCCUUCCCCGACA
rnacentral:tRNA from 1 species